CAAAUAUAUACUACUUCCGUAACUUUAAUUAGCAUAGGCUUUGAUACCAAUUGUAGGGGGUGCGAAUAACUCGAGUAACUUGGGUAAAUAGAUCUAUUAUAAUUCUAAUGGGUCUAUUUUUAUUUGUGUGUGGAUAUUCAAUUUCUAUAAAUAUUUUUAUUUUAUUAAUGUUCAUAUCUUGGAGGGUGAUUGUGUGGUAAUUGAUUAAAAGUUUUACUGUAGUAUUCUUUAGUUUUUUCUCUUAGUCUUUGUAAUUCUUCUAUAUUAUUUUGGAGGUA
rnacentral:lncRNA from 1 species